UGAAAAAACCCAUUAAAGCACAAAAAAGCAGAGACACCCCUCGUACCUUUUGCAUCAUGAUUCAGCUAGUAAAAUACAUGCAAAGAGACCUCUAGUUUGUAACCCCGAAACCCGACGAGCUACUCCGGGACAGCCUAUCAAGGGCCAACCCGUCUCUGUGGCAAAAGAGUGGGAAGAUCCCCGAGUAGAAGCAAAAGACCUACCGAGCCGGGUUAUAGCUGGUUGCCCAAAUAAAUGAAUAAAAGUUCAGCCCCGCACAGCCCAACUCACAGCAGUUCUACUACAAAAGACAAAGAGCUAUUAAGCGGGAGUUAAUCAGGGGAGGUACAGCUCCCCUGAUAAAGGACACAACCUUAUUAAGGAGAUUAAGGAACAUAAUCAAUAAAGGCCAUAGGUCUCAGUGGGCCUGAAAGCAGCCACCUGAUCAGAAAGCGUUAAAGCUCAGACCAAAAUAAACCUAUUAUUACAUUAAACACUCCAAAAUCCCUAACAUAAAUGGGCCUUUCUAUGCCCCCAUAGAAGAGAUUAUGCUGAAAUGAGUAACAAGAAGUUUGAACUUCUCCCCGCACAAGUGUAAAUCGAAUUAGACUAACUACCGACAAUUAACGAACCCAACAACAGAGGGCCGCACAUUACCGCCAUAGAAGGCCAGGAAAAACAUGUCCCCCUAAUCGUUAACCCCACACAGGAGUGCUAAACCAAGGAAAGACUAAAAGAAAAAAAAGGAACUCGGCAAACCUAAACCCCGCCUGUUUACCAAAAACAUCGCCUCUUGCCAACUCUAUUGUAUAAGAGGUCCCACCUGCCCUGUGACCAAAAAGUUUAACGGCCGCGGUAUCCUAACCGUGCGAAGGUAGCGCAAUCAAUUGCCUUUUAAAUGAAGGCCUGUAUGAAUGGUAUAACGAGGGUUUAACUGUCUCUUUUUUCCAGUCAGUUAAAUUGAUCUGUCCGUGCAGAAGCGGACAUAAUAAUACAAGACGAGAAGACCCUAUGGAGCUUUAGACACCAACCAACCAUGAAAAGCAAUAAAUUAUUUAUAUUCCAAACACCCAUGGAACUGGCAUAAUAGUCUUAGGUUGGGGCGACCACGGGAGAUAGCAAAGCUCCCGAGCAGACCAGGGAAAUCCUGAAACCAAGAGUUACAACUCUAAGUCACAAAAAUUUUGACUGAAAUGAUCCGGCCAAAGCCGAUUAACGAACCAAGUUACCCUAGGGAUAACAGCGCAAUCCCCUUUCAGAGUCCAUAUCGACAAGGGGGUUUACGACCUCGAUGUUGGAUCAGGACAUCCUAAUGGUGCAGCCGCUAUUAA
rnacentral:rRNA from 1 species